GACCUAGACAGCAAUCGGGGC
rnacentral:miRNA from 1 species